rnacentral:rRNA from 1 species
AUUGAACGCUGGCGGCAGGCCUAACACAUGCAAGUCGAACGAGUGGCGGACGGGUGAGUAAUGUCUGGGAAACUGCCUGAUGGAGGGGGAUAACUACUGGAAACGGUAGCUAUACCGCAUACCAUCGGAUGUGCCCAGAUGGGAUUAGCUAGUAGGGGGGGUAAAGGCUCACAUAGGCGACGAUCCCUCGCUGGUCUCAGAGGUGGACCAGCCAAACUGGAACUGAGACACGGUCCAGACUCCAACGGGGGGAAGAGGGGGGGAAUAUUGGACAAGGAGCGCAAGCCUAAUGCGGCCAGGCCGGGUGUAGGAAGAAGGCCUUCGGGUUGUAAAGUACGUUCAGCGGGGAGGCGGUACCCGCAGAAGAAGCACCGGCUAACUCCGUGCCAGCAGCCGCGGUAAUUC